GUGUUGAGUGCUUACUGUAUACCUGGGCUGCACCCCGAAGUGGAUCUGAACACUUCAGAGAAAAGGAAAAUGUCAUUUGGAUGGUGUUUUGCUGGGGCAAACAUAUGAGGGAACGUUUCGUUGAAGCGGACACAGGUGUGAAAGGCUAAGGCAGACUCGUGAAGGAACGUUUCGUGGAAGCAGACACAGGAGAGGGGAUGUUCUGCUGAAGCAAGCACAUGAAAGAACACAUGAUGGAUUCUUCAGUAACAGCACAGAGGCACAGCCAAGAACUUUUCCUGGUCCCUUCUUGUCUCUCCUGCUGACUUGGGCAGAGGCUGAGGCCUGGCUGUGUCUGCUAGGUCUGCUAACCCAACUCUACCCAACUGGACUGCUGCUAUAUCCGUGAAGUGUUUGCGAGUGGACCCAGCUGCCGCUGCUGACCUGGGAACUGAACCGCUGAUUUCCAGACAACA
rnacentral:sRNA from 1 species